rnacentral:rRNA from 1 species
UACAGAGGGGGCUAGCGUUGCUCGGAAUGACUGGGCGUAAAGGGCGCGUAGGCGGCCCAUACAGUCAGAUGUGAAAUUCCUGGGCUUAACCUGGGGGCUGCAUUUGAUACGUGUGGGCUUGAGUGGGGAAGAGGGUCGUGGAAUUCCCGGUGUAGUGGUGAAAUGCGUAGAUAUCGGGAGGAACACCAGUGGCGAAGGCGACUAUCUGGGCUUUAACUGACGCUGAGGCGCGAAGGCCGGGGGAGCAAACAGG